CCCAGCCUUUUAAGGACUAUGGGCCAGGCCGAACCAACCCAUAGGCCUUGAACCUCAAAUGACUGAAGAGUGAAGAAUGAAAAAAGAGAGACAGAGAGUCCGAGGGGGAAGAGCCUCGAGCGGUCGAGCCUGGAGAGUGGAGAGAGAUCGAGAGAGCUUGAGGGAAGGUCAAAGAUGGUGCGGAUCUGACUCGAAGAGUGGAGAGACCGCGAGAGUCCGAGGAGGAGGAGCCGC
rnacentral:lncRNA from 1 species